GCGCCUCAAUUAAUGCAUUCACAGAAAUUGGUCUUAAUUUUGGUGUGGGCUUCUUUAAUUGGAUCAAAUAAUUUGCCUUAUAUUUGAUCAAUUAUUUUUUUUGCAUUUCAGUUUUGACUUCUAAUUUAUUCAAAAUCAUUUUUUUCCUUUUUUUUUAAUUGGACUAAUUUAAAGUUAUUAAAAUUGAUACUAUUCGGAUAUACAAAAGACAUUAUAAUAUUGAAUUUGAUAUUAUAAAUUGGAUCAAAUAAUUUGCCUUAUAGUUGAU
rnacentral:lncRNA from 1 species